rnacentral:rRNA from 1 species
GUAUUAAAGGUGUUGCCUGCCCAGUGAAACAAUUUCAACGGCCGCGGUAUCCUAACCGUGCAAAGGUAGCGUAAUCACUUGUCUUUUAAAUAAAGACUCGUAUGAAAGGCUAAAUGAGGACAAAACUGUCUCUUAUAGUUGACCAGUAAAACUGAUCUUCAAGUACAAAAGCUUGAAUAAACACAUAAGACGAGAAGACCCUGUGGAGCUUAAAACUAACACUAUAAACAAGAAAUAGCAUAAGUUUUAAGUUGGGGCGACUUCGGAACAAAACAAAACUUCCGAGCACAGAGCCACACGCUCUAACCUAGACCAACAAGUCAAAGAACAACAUGACCCAGUCUCACUGAUCAACGAACCAAGUUACCCCAGGGAUAACAGCGCCAUCUUCUUCAAGAGUCCAUAUCGACAAGAAGGUUUACGACCUCGAUGUUGGAUCAGGACACCCAAAUGGUGCAGCAG